rnacentral:sRNA from 1 species
GAGGGAUGGCGACCGGGCGGAACACCCGGCUCUGGUCCGGUCGUCCGAAAGGCCCCAGCGCAAGCUGCGGGCCUUUCUCUUUG